UACGUAGGUGGCAAGCGUUGUCCGGAAUUAUUGGGCGUAAAGCGCGCGCAGGCGGUCUCUUAAGUCUGAUGUGAAAUCUCGCGGCUCAACCGUGAGCGGUCAUUGGAAACUGGGAGACUUGAGUGCAGAAGAGAAGAGCGGAAUUCCACGUGUAGCGGUGAAAUGCGUAGAGAUGUGGAGGAACACCAGUGGCGAAGGCGGCUCUUUGGUCUGUAACUGACGCUGAGGCGCGAAGGCGUGGGGAGCGAACAGG
rnacentral:rRNA from 1 species